UUAAGUUAUUAAGGGCGCACGGUGGAUGCCUUGGCACUAGAAGCCGAUGAAGGACGUUACUAACGACGAUAUGCUUUGGGGAGCUGUAAGUAAGCUUUGAUCCAGAGAUUUCCGAAUGGGGAAACCCAGCAUGAGUUAUGUCAUGUUAUCGAUAUGUGAAUACAUAGCAUAUCAGAAGGCACACCCGGAGAACUGAAACAUCUUAGUACCCGGAGGAAGAGAAAGAAAAUUCGAUUCCCUUAGUAGCGGCGAGCGAAACGGGAAGAGCCCAAACCAAAAAGCUUGCUUGUUGGGGUUGUAGGACACUCUAUACGGAGUUACAAAGGACGACAUUAGACGAAUCAUCUGGAAAGAUGAAUCAAAGAAGGUAAUAAUCCUGUAGUCGAAAAUGUUGUCUCUCUUGAGUGGAUCCUGAGUACGACGGAGCACGUGAAAUUCCGUCGGAAUCUGGGAGGACCAUCUCCUAAGGCUAAAUACUCUCUAGUGACCGAUAGUGAACCAGUACCGUGAGGGAAAGGUGAAAAGCACCCCGGAAGGGGAGUGAAAUAGAACCUGAAACCGUGUGCUUACAAGUAGUCAGAGCCCGUUAAUGGGUGAUGGCGUGCCUUUUGUAGAAUGAACCGGCGAGUUACGAUUUGAUGCAAGGUUAAGCAGUAAAUGUGGAGCCGUAGCGAAAGCGAGUCUGAAUAGGGCGUUUAGUAUUUGGUCGUAGACCCGAAACCAGGUGAUCUACCCUUGGUCAGGUUGAAGUUCAGGUAACACUGAAUGGAGGACCGAACCGACUUACGUUGAAAAGUGAGCGGAUGAACUGAGGGUAGCGGAGAAAUUCCAAUCGAACCUGGAGAUAGCUGGUUCUCUCCGAAAUAGCUUUAGGGCUAGCCUCAAGUGAUGAUUAUUGGAGGUAGAGCACUGUUUGGACGAGGGGCCCCUCUCGGGUUACCGAAUUCAGACAAACUCCGAAUGCCAAUUAAUUUAACUUGGGAGUCAGAACAUGGGUGAUAAGGUCCGUGUUCGAAAGGGAAACAGCCCAGACCACCAGCUAAGGUCCCAAAAUAUAUGUUAAGUGGAAAAGGAUGUGGCGUUGCCCAGACAACUAGGAUGUUGGCUUAGAAGCAGCCAUCAUUUAAAGAGUGCGUAAUAGCUCACUAGUCGAGUGACACUGCGCCGAAAAUGUACCGGGGCUAAACAUAUUACCGAAGCUGUGGAUUGUCCUUUGGACAAUGGUAGGAGAGCGUUCUAAGGGCGUUGAAGCAUGAUCGUAAGGACAUGUGGAGCGCUUAGAAGUGAGAAUGCCGGUGUGAGUAGCGAAAGACGGGUGAGAAUCCCGUCCACCGAUUGACUAAGGUUUCCAGAGGAAGGCUCGUCCGCUCUGGGUUAGUCGGGUCCUAAGCUGAGGCCGACAGGCGUAGGCGAUGGAUAACAGGUUGAUAUUCCUGUACCACCUAUAAUCGUUUUAAUCGAUGGGGGGACGCAGUAGGAUAGGCGAAGCGUGCGAUUGGAUUGCACGUCUAAGCAGUAAGGCUGAGUAU
rnacentral:rRNA from 1 species